GCCCCGAACGAGCUGGUUCUUUCUGAAACCCUCGUCAUGCGGCCGAUUCGCCCAACCCAGGGCUAUCUCUUUUUUGAUCUUCCACUUUGAAGGCCAUUUGCGGCGGCGCCCAUUGUCCCCCCGGCGAGGAAGGAAAAAAAAUGGAAGAUUCUGGCCUGGAGUUCCUUCUAGACGCCAUUGACAGGUUUCCGUUGCGGGAGGAGUUCGCCGACAACCUAAGCACCCAGAUCCGGCUCCCUUGCCUUGUUGCCGCGGAACGAGGAGGACCUGGGCAUCCCAGCGGACUCAAAUGCAAAUUCUAGUUGUAGCCAACAGCUCGGCGGCGAGAGCCAUGGCGGACAGCGUGGAGAUGUUCGUCGGCGGAAAGAUGCUUCUGCGACAAGCUCUGCCCAGUCAACUGACAUAGUGAACCUUGGACAAAAAGCUAUGCAGGUCGUGCGGACGGGCAACGCGAGUGCCGAAGCAUUUGAACACACGAUAAGCACCAUUGGCAGCGAAGAUGGGUGGUUUAGGUUUUGAAGACCAUAAUGAGAGACUCGAACUGGGUAGAUUGGUUUACUAUGUUGGUGCUGAUAAUGGUAAGCAAGAUAACAGUGAUGGAGUGCCCUUCAAGGCCUAGCGCCUCCUGAUAAGCAACAAGGGGUCGGCAGGCCAACAAAUGGCAGCGAAAAGGCGGCUUACGAGGGUCUGAGCAAGUGGAGAAGAUUCUGUAGCAUAUGUCUUUGAGAGGGACAUAAGCGCACUACCUGCCUGGACAGAGACGAUGCUCCGAAGAAACCAGGGAAGCCUGGCAAAUGCAAAAACCGUGGCAUGGAAGGAAAACGCCGGAUGGCAUGCACAAUGCCGCUUGGAGUUGCUGAAAAUGAGUUGCAGAAAUAUGAAAUCUACUAUUUAAAAUGUUUGUUAUCGAGGAUUUUCUAGUGUGUUUAAGUAA